rnacentral:rRNA from 1 species
UACGUAGGGGGCAAGCGUUGUCCGGAAUUAUUGGGCGUAAAGAGCUCGUAGGCGGCUUGUCGCGUCGACCGUGAAAACUUGGGGCUCAACCCCAAGCCUGCGGUCGAUACGGGCAGGCUAGAGUUCGGUAGGGGAGACUGGAAUUCCUGGUGUAGCGGUGAAAUGCGCAGAUAUCAGGAGGAACACCGGUGGCGAAGGCGGGUCUCUGGGCCGAUACUGACGCUGAGGAGCGAAAGCGUGGGGAGCGAACAGG